GAUGAACGCUGGCGGCGUGCCUAAUACAUGCAAGUCGAGCGAACAGACGAGGAGCUUGCUCCUCUGACGUUAGCGGCGGACGGGUGAGUAACACGUGGAUAACCUACCUAUAAGACUGGGAUAACUUCGGGAAACCGGAGCUAAUACCGGAUAAUAUAUUGAACCGCAUGGUUCAAUAGUGAAAGACGGUUUUGCUGUCACUUAUAGAUGGAUCCGCGCCGCAUUAGCUAGUUGGUAAGGUAACGGCUUACCAAGGCAACGAUGCGUAGCCGACCUGAGAGGGUGAUAGGCCACACUGGAACUGAGACACGGUCCAGACUCCUACGGGAGGCAGCAGUAGGGAAUAUUCCGCAAUGGGCGAAAGCCUGACGGAGCAACGCCGCGUGAGUGAUGAAGGUCUUCGGAUCGUAAAACUCUGUUAUUAGGGAAGAACAAAUGUGUAAGUAACUAUGCACGUCUUGACGGUACCUAAUCAGAAAGCCACGGCUAACUACGUG
rnacentral:rRNA from 1 species